rnacentral:rRNA from 1 species
UUGAUUACGUCCCUGCCCUUUGUACACACCGCCCGUCGCUGCCCGGGACUGAGCCAUUUCGAGAAAUUUGGAGACCGUUGAUUUAAUUUUUCUAAAUUACUUUGAUGGAAACCAAUUUAAUCGCAGUGGCUUGAACCGGGCAAAAGUCGUAACAAGGUAGCUGUAGGUGAACCUGCUGCUGGAUCAUUA